rnacentral:rRNA from 1 species
UAACGCGAAGAACCUUACCAGGGCUUGACAUCCCUUGACGACCUAAGAGAUUAGGUGUUCUCGUUAUACGGGACAAGGAGACAGGUGGUGCAUGGUUGUCGUCAGCUCGUGUCGUGAGAUGUUGGGUUAAGUCCCGCAACGAGCGCAACCCUUAUAUUUAGUUGCCAGCAAGUAAAGUUGGGCACUCUAAAUAGACUGCCGGCAAAAAGUCGGAGGAAGGUGGGGAUGACGUCAAAUCAUCAUGCCCCUUAUGCCCUGGGCUACACACGUGCUACAAUGGUCUGUACAAAGGGAAGCGAAAGAGUGAUCUGGAGCGAAUCCCAGAAAGCAGAUCUCAGUUCGGAUUGCAGGCUGCAACUCGCCUGCAUGAAGGAGGAGUUGCUAGUAAUCGCGGAUCAGAAUGCCGCGGUGAAUACGUUCCCGGGUCUUGUACACACCGA